rnacentral:lncRNA from 1 species
UGCCGGCUCCAUAUCUCAAGUCUGAACUCUAAACUCUGGACUGUUCAGGUGCAUUUCCACUGCUUGAACGACAAAAUGUUUACCCGUGUAUGGACAAUUAAUUAUUCAUCUGUUAAAUCUAAUAAUUGUGUAAUGUACUGCCACCUUAAUACUAUCAUUAUUUAUACUUUACCUUAUCAUCUCUCCACUUUCUAUAACUAUGAUGUCUAGACAUAAAUCAUACUCCCUCCAUUUCAAAUUAUAAGUCAUUCCAAGAAUCUUGGAGAGUCAAAGCAUUUCAAGUUUGACCAAAAUUAUAGAAAAAAUUAUAAAAAUUUAUGACAUCAAAUAGGUAUACUAUGAAAAUAUAAUUGAUGAAGAAUCUAAUGAUACUUAGUUGACAUCAUAAAUGUUAUUAUAUUAUCAUACAAAUUUGGUCAACCUAGAGAUACUUUGACUCUCCAAGAUUCUUGGAAUGACUUAUAAUUUGGGACGGAGGGAGUAUCUGGGACCACCAUAAUGUUCGGCUCUACCGUAUCAUCCACUUUUCUUUCUAACCCCAGCUGAGUGACUUUUGUUUAGGCUACAAUAUAAUGUUCCAUCAAUUGCGCAUUUCUGCCCUCCACUCUCGCCUUCCUAAAUCCACAGCCUCGAGCCACAUGUUUUCAAGCCUUGUGCAACAACUAAACUGUGCGCGUCGGCGUGACGCUGCCGUCAUGUGAGGCUUGUAGAGUGGGCUACUCGAACGUGAAUUGGCUGGUGAGAUCCAUACACAUUGAGCCGACGUGCAGUGAGGAUUGGGUGGCCGCAGAGGUGUUCAAUACCGUUGGCAUGGCUUGCAUACAUGUCGAGCUAAGAUUGCCACGUAGGAGGUGUUCGAUACUAUAUAUGGGCUGAAUAAUUCAUAUUUCAAAACAUGUGUGUUGUAUUUUAGUUGAACCUUCAAUGCAGUGUUUAAACGCUAUAGUUACUGGUCGGACAAAACACGACUUUGAAAAGGAAAAAAGUAUAUGUUUUUUCGCUUAUUCAUCUUCAUUCUUGAUCUAACAGCCUAGUUCUUCUCCAACUAAACCCUAUCUUCCUGGCCACCUUCUUCACUCCCGACUAUGAACUAGCGCUGAUGCUGCUCGCCAAAUCCGAUGCCAGCAGGCUCCUAGUUCAGUCAAUACCUUUCUCCCCAGAUCUAUCAUGUGUACAACUCAGAGACAGAGACAAAAAUCUACAGUAACACUGACAAAUCUUAGGAUAAUAGCGCUGAUAUGUUUAAUUCUAUCUUGGGUCAGGAGAUCCUCGAGUUCGUCAACAGGUACACGGACCUCCCAAACAUGGAGGAUUGGAAGAUGGAGCUGUUAUUGACUACCUUAGGGAACAUGAAGGACAACCGCGAAACCUUCCAGGACCGUGACGACUACAGUGAGAACGUCAAUCAGGGUUUUCAGAGAUGGCUCUCCUUAGCUGGUGCCCAAUAUGAAGCUGCCAUUGCUGCUGCUGGUGGUGGUGGUGAUGACGCCGGUGGUGAUGCUGCGCAAGUGCAGCAGAAGCCAUUGCCGCUCCAUCUCAAGUCUGAACUCUAAACUCUGGACUGUUCAGGUGCAUUUCCACUGCUUGAACGACGAAAUGUUUACCCGUGUAUGGACAAUUAAUUAUUCAUCUGUUAAAUCUAAUAAUUGUGUAAUGUACUGCCACCUUAAUACUAUCAUUAUUUAUACUUUACCUUAUCAUCUCUCCACUUUCUAUAACUAUGAUGUCUAGACAUAAAUUAUACUCCCUCCAUUCCAAAUUAUAAGUCAUUCCAAGAAUCUUGGAGAGUCAAAGCAUUUCAAGUUUGACCAAAAUUAUAGAAAAAAUUAUAAAAAUUUAU